CAGAUUGCCUACCGGCUAGCCAGCAGCAGCCCCCACACCUUCACCACCGUCGAGGUCGGCGCCACGGUGAGGCAGUUCACAGCCACCGAGCUGUCACCAGAGUCUGCCUACAUCUUCAGGCUGUCUGCCAAGACCAGGCAGGGCUGGGGGGAGCCACUGGAGGCCACGGUCAUCACCACUGAGAAGAGAGAGCGGCCAGGGCCCCCCAGAGAGCUCCUGGUGCCCCAGGCAGAGGUGACAGCGCGCAGCCUGCAGCUCCAGUGGCUCCCUGGCAGUGACGGGGCCUCCCCUAUUCGCUACUUCACCGUCCAGGUGCGAGAGCUGCCCCACGGCGAGUGGCAGACCUACUCCUCGUCCAUCAGUCAUGAAGCCACAGCCUGCACUGUGGAAAGGCUGAGGCCCUUCACCUCCUACAAGCUGCGUCUAAAAGCCACCAACGAUAUUGGGGACAGUGACUUCAGUUCGGAGACAGAAGCGGUCACCACACUGCAGGACG